rnacentral:rRNA from 1 species
AACGAACGCUGGCGGCGUGCCUAACACAUGCAAGUCGAACGCGAAAGUCCUUCGGAUGAGUAAAGUGGCGCACGGGUGAGUAACACGUAGGUGACCUGCCUUUUAGAGGGGAAUAACCAGAAGAAAUUUUGGCUAAUGCCGCAUACGAAGAACAAAUAUACUAGUAGUUCUUGAAAGGAUGCCUCUGUAUAUGCAUCCACUAAAAGAUGGGCCUGUGGGACACUAGCUAGUUGGUGGGGUAAUAGGCCUACCAAGGCGACGAUGUCUAUCCGGUCUGAGAGGAUGAUCGGACACACUGGAACUGAGACACGGUCCAGACUCCUACGGGAGGCAGCAGUGGGGAAUC